rnacentral:rRNA from 1 species
UACGGGGGGGGCAAGCGUUGUUCGGAAUUACUGGGCGUAAAGGGUUCGUAGGUGGCCAACUAAGUCAGACGUGAAAUCCCUCAGCUUAACUGGGGAACUGCGUCUGAUACUGGUUGGCUUGAGUGCAGGAGAGGAACGCGGAAUUCCAGGUGUAGCGGUGAAAUGUGUUGAUAUUGGAAGGAACGCCGGUGGCGAAAGCGACACACUGGACCUUGUCUGACGCUGAGGCACGAAAGCCAGGGGAGCAAACGGG